UACGUAGGCAGCAAGCGUUGUUCGGAAUUACUGGGCGUAAAGAGUGUGUAGGCGGUGCUCUAAGUUUGUCGUGAAAUCUCCCGGCUUAACUGGGAGGGUGCGGCGAAAACUGGAGUGCUAGAGGGUGGGAGAGGAAAGCGGAAUUCCUGGUGUAGCGGUGAAAUGCGUAGAUAUCAGGAGGAACACCAGUGGCGAAGGCGGCGACCUGGGCCAAUACUGACGCUGAGGUGCGAAAGCGUGGGGAGCAAACAGG
rnacentral:rRNA from 1 species